CUCACCCUCGUGGCGCCGUGGACACGCCUGCGAAAAUCAGGGCCCUGUAAAGAAACCAAUGGGUCAACAAAGGCCGAAGCGACUCCAGGCCGAGACUAUGGUCCCUUCAUCAACCAAGGCCCCGAGGUACCUGCCGUGCAAAGAUGGCCGGAGCGCUGAGAACCUCCACCAUUCCUUCCAUUGGGGUAGGCUGCGCUGCAGGCGACAGGCACACAACAAAACACCCGGGACCACCACCAAGGAGCUCUUCGCACAAAAA